AGAUUGAACGCUGGCGGCAGGCCUAACACAUGCAAGUCGAGCGGCAGCACGGGUACUUGUACCUGGUGGCGAGCGGCGGACGGGUGAGUAAUGCCUAGGAAUCUGCCUGGUAGUGGGGGAUAACGCUCGGAAACGGACGCUAAUACCGCAUACGUCCUACGGGAGAAAGCGAGGGGUACCUUCGGGCCUUGCGCUAUCAGAUGAGCCUAGGUCGGAUUAGCUAGUUGGUGAGGUAAUGGCUCACCAAGGCGACGAUCCGUAACUGGUCUGAGAGGAUGAUCAGUCACACUGGAACUGACGACACGGUCCAGACCUACCGUACGGGAGGCAGCAGUAGGGGAAUAGUUGGACAAGUGGGACGAAAGCCUAGGAUACCAGCCAUCGGACCGCGUAGUGUAGAAAGUAGGUCUUACGGAUUAGGUAAAG
rnacentral:rRNA from 1 species